GCCAAGGCGAGGCCCCUGAAUACCUGUCCUACUGCCAGGAGGAAGCCAGCUACUGAGCACCCAGGGGUGCCAGCUCCCCGCCUUGCAUCAGCAGCCCUGUGUGGGUUUGGGGGUUUUCAUUGUGUUGUUUUGUGUUUUGAAACUGGUCAUCUCUUUGUAGCUAUCUCUGGCCUGGAACUCAUGCAAUCCUUCUGCCUCAGCUUCCUGAGGACUGGGGUGACAGCUCCCUCCUCACCCACCAUGCCUCGCUUCCUUCCCAGGACUGACCCACCAGGCAGGGAACAUGGGUUUCCUUGGUGGGAUAGCGAGGCAGUGCAUUUCCUAGUGGGAGGGGCGGUGGGAGGUGCCGGCCCAAAGAGCUUUCGGUUUUUUCCUCUCUUUUACAUGGUUUUUGUGGUUUGUGAACCAAGGAAAUUACAGGCAGUUUCUUUUUUUUUUCUUUUUUUUUUUUUUUUCUUUUUCGGAGCUGGGGACUGAACCCAGGGCCUUGCACUUGCUAGGCAAGUGCUCUACCACUGAGCUAAAUCCCCAACCCCUACAGGCAGUUUCAAUGAAAGAAGAGAAGGAAUUUUGUGCUUUGUUUGCUCCCAAAGGUAUCGGGUUCACCAGGCUUUAAUAUACUGCGGGCAUUCCGAGGGAUUAAAUUUGCUUUCCCAACACCCUCAGACUUCACCCUCCUGUGCCCAGUGGGGAAACUGAGGCAAACCCCAGUACCUGCAGCCAGCCCUCCCUCGUCCCUCUGGUCUAUGAAGGUCUCAGUUUUCCCUGCAUCCCUGAGCAAGCCCAAUUAGCUGUGCUAGGUCCCUGGGUCUCUGAAAAUGCCCCACGUGACCAUGUGACCCACAGGGGCCCCUGCGCUGCCAGAUAAUGUGAAAUUCCCUGUGUGGACCAAAAAAAUAAAUAAAUAAAUAAAUAAAUAAAAUAAAAAUAAAACCUCCUUUUCUAAGAGUAAA
rnacentral:lncRNA from 1 species